rnacentral:rRNA from 1 species
UGCGCAGGCGGGAGAUUAAGUCGGCGGUGAAAUUUUGCAGCUUAACUGUAAAAGUGCCUUCGAAACUGGUUUCCUUGAGUGUAGAUGAAGUAGGCGGAAUUUGUGGUGUAGCGGUGAAAUGCAUAGAUAUCACGAGGAACUCCGAUUGCGCAGGCAGCUUACUAAACUACUACUGACGCUCAGGCACGAAGGCGUGGGGAUCAAACA